AUAACCAUCACUCUAUUCUUUUAUACUUUGUGUCAUUCCAGAGGUUUAGACAACAUGAAGCAAAUACUACUUUUGUUCGUGAUCAGCCUUUUGUGCUGUUAUCAGGGUGUAAUGGCACUUUAUUGUCCAGGAGGUAGAGAUGGAGUAUACCGAUUCGAGUACGAUUGUCAUUACUACGUCCUCUGUAAAAACGGGACUCCGAAUCUGAUGAAAUGCCCUUCAGGAUUAGCCUUCAAUCCUUCUCUUGGCAUCUGUGUAUAUAGAGAAUGCUGAGAGAUAUUAGCAGAUUCUUGGAAACAGUCUUGUUCUAGUUUUGCUACAAAAAAAAAGUUUCUAAUUUUUGAAGUUUUCUAUUCAUCUUUAAACUGGAACCUAUGAUAUUCCAAUAAACGUACAGAAACAUGA